UGUGUGUGUGUAUAUAUAUAUAUAUAUAUAUAUAUAUAUAGAGAGAGAGAGAGAGAGAGAGAGAGAGAGAGAGAGAGAGAGAGAGAGAGAUAGUUUCUAAAACUAACUAGUUCUACAUAAAAUAAAUUACACACUAAUCAAUGUGAAAACUGAUGGUUUGAUUUUACAUGUUAUAUCAUACUAUCAAAUUAAGUGUGCACUUCCCAGAGGCACCAGCUGUCUUUGUUACUUCCUCCCAGGCUUUAUUUCUUUAUAACAUUUCUAUAUACAUUUACUGAGAGGUUGUGUACAACAGGAUAUAACAAAACUACAGUUAUAAGUUUAUCUUCCAUUUUUGUGUGUCAACGUGUGAGUCUGUGGAACUGAAGAAACAUCGGACCAGUUGCACCAUAGGAUUGUUCUGCAAGCUGAUCGUUUGGAUUCGUCACUUUACUAUGUCAUAGGCUACAUAAUAUGUACAGAGUGGAGAGAAUCUCAAUUCAAAUGUCGCUUGUUGCAUUGUUGCAUCGUCGCUUGCCAAUGUCACUAAAUCGUGGCUCCGUGUCAGCUAUGUACAUAGAAAAAGAAAUGGUCACCCGUCACUUUGAUGCCUGGUAGUGUGAACGUAGAGUAAUAAUGUCAUAAACAUCCUAAUCAAAAGAACUGCGCUCUUUGCUAAACUGAAUUACAGCAUUAUUGCAUCACAAAUCCGAGUCCAAACCACGCCCUAUUCACUACAUAGUGCACUUUGUAGGGAGUUUUGCCCUUUUAAAUGUCAUGUCUGGAAGCCUAACAUGGAAAACUCACUAGAACUGGUUAGUGUUCAAAUGAUGGCUUGUACUGUCUACAGUAAAACAAAUAUUAGAUUAUUCAACCUAUUUCUAUUCAUUUCCAGCUUAAAAUUUUCUUAUUGUUAUCGUCAGAUCAUUUUGCUUCUUUCUAGAAAUUAGCAAAAUUAGCAAAAUUAUCUGCCAAUAGAACAUAAUUAUUUCAGGCUUGAUUAAAAUGAGUAAAAUAUGUCCAGAAAUAGGUGUAAUAAUCUUGUAGUAGGUUUACUAUAUGUACAAACAAGCAUGUUCCACAGUAUCCACUGAAAAAGAGGUCCACUAGAAAGUAUCAUUACAAUGUUUUUUUCAGCUGAAACCUGCAAUGUCACUUGUUCCGAAGGCCCCGGUGUCGUGGAAACAUUUGGAAAUAGUUCACUUGUGCUAGCUUAUUUAUUUUGCUGGCUCAGCAGUUAGGGCUCUGGACUAGAGUCUUUUUCUCUCAUCUUUUCAACUCAGUUUCAAGUGGCUUUGGAUAGUAGCAUCUGUCGAAAGAAUGAAUAUAAAUGCAAAUAUCAUUCUAAACCUUAGUGCGUGAGGAUGCAUUUUUUUGCGUCACUUGUCUUUCUGAGGCGUAAUUAGUCGAAAUUGCGUCGUCGUUUAAAGGGGACUAAUGAGGGUAUUUAGAGUCCAAUCUGAUUUGGACACAACCAUAUGCACAAGACAGGAAACGAGGGAAUGAGAGAUGGCCCAUCUUCACACUCCCUCCUGAGGAAUGAUCCUGAAGUUAUAGAAAUAUGCCAUGUGUAAACAUUCUGACAUUCACCCACUCAUUCACACACACACACACACACACACACACACACACACACACACACGCACACACGCUCACUGCUCAAGUGCUUCAUCUGCCUUACCAUUUUCGUAACAUAGUUGUGCACAAUCCAAAUGGACAAGAUACAGAGUUGUGCUCAAGCUCCGCUUUCUAAACAAAAAGCCUCAUUAAUCAAUACUGUCGUAUUUAAUCUAUUAUAACACACUGCUGUCACAUUUUAUUUCUCAUUCAGCCCUGUGACAUCCAGUACGAUGAGAUUCAGUACAGUUCAGUGUGUGCUUAUUGACUGAAAGCAGCAUGAACAGUAACACAGAUGAGCGUAUAACUGAGUCAUCAUCAGAUGUAAUUCAGAAGAUAAGAUAUUUAAACAUCAUUCAGAAAACCAUAGUCUUUGAUGCGUAGGUGACAUUGAUUUCCAAAGUUUGAAAGGCCUUUUAUUCUUUAAGAUAUAUAACAGUAGUGGAGAAUUUCCCACCAUUCAGCUCGACUGAUAAAGAACCUUGGAUGAAUAAAGCACCAUCUACCCUGUAAUAAAACAUGGUCCAUGUCCUAGAUAUUUAAAAUCACCCUGCAGGCUCAACAUCUUUGCAGACACAAGCUGAAAUCAAUCUCUAAACCAGGGAGGCCUGAGUGGAUGUGUAAAUCACUCCAGACAGGAUCAAAGACCGUCUGGUCUCCUUGUCCUGUCAUAUUGGAGCUAUUUCCUGCAUCUCCAGCUUCAUGUGUAACCCCCAGCAGUGGGUUCAUGACCAGCAUCACCUUUUAAAUGCACCAUCACAGUUAUAGACUAAGGGAUAGAGUUACAUCAUGUUUUACACACACACAUACACACACACACACACACACACACACACACACAUGUAUGUAAUGUAGAGCAAAGGUGAUGUCAAACUCAAAGUACUCAUAAAAACAGUGCACUCUGUCUUAAUGGUGUUUGUAAUGUUGUACGACAUUUCACAUAAUUUUUGCAGAGGUACUUGUAAAACAAAGACAAAGAACAUCACUUUGAAUGAUGAGUUUGUUCAAAUUGAAAUGUAAACAACCUCCCCCUUAGACCAAACGCAGUCUAUCGGUCAAGAUAAGGUUGCUUCAUUGGUUUUGCACUGGAGCGCUGAUGGUAAUGUAAGCUAAAAAGUAAUGGAUGCUUAUAGCUAUCAGUUUAGCUUCAUGCAAACUGCAUGCCUACAUCAUCACUUACUAACCUUAAACGGCUGUGCCGAUUUCAGAAACUGGACAAAAGUAAAAAGUCACAAAGCUCUGUCUUCAUUGAGACAGACAGAUACAGAGGCCACACCUCCUUCACUGAGAGAGAUACAGAGGCCACACCGACUUCACUGAGACAGAUACAGAGGCCACACCUCCUUCACUGAGACACAUACAGAAGCCACACCUCCUUCACUGAGACAGAAACAGAAGCCACACAUCCUUCGCUGAG
ensembl:lncRNA